UUAAGUUCAGCGGGUAUCCCUACCUGAUCCGAGGUCAAACCUUAAGAAGAUCUCUACUUUUUGACGGCAGAGGGUUUUCUGGCGGGUCGUGUCCAGAACAUCCAGAGCGGUUAAUAAUGACUACGCUGGGAGCUGGGCACCACUGCCAAUGAGUUUCAGGCACGUCCAGAACGGACGAGAGCCCAAUACCAAGCAGAAGC
rnacentral:misc_RNA from 1 species